GGCUGAGGCGGUGAUUGUGCUGUAAAGCCUGACCUUCUGCGGUUUGCGCCUUUACCCUACGGCGCGGCCGCCGUUGGUAUUUGCAUGGGCUGUCUCCCGAGGUUGCAUGAUGUUGAUCGCCGCUCGGAGGAGCUGUGUCUGCCUGCCUGGUGGGACCCAGGUCCGGGAGGCCUCAACUGCGGCCUGCGCAGUGAGAAGGGCCGGGGCCCGCGGGGGCCGCACCCUCUCCGGCCUCGGCUUGCGCAGCUGCGCGCUCAGGCCUGAUGGGUGAGUGACAAGGCAGGGCGCACGAAUCGGCACCUGGGGCCGCGGGGUGCAACCCUGGGCCUGAAGUAGAUUAAUUGAAGGAGGCUGCGUGCUGGUGUCAGGGUAAUCUCGGUUGAAUCUGCCUAUUAUGGUUAGCGGCAGAGUGGCUUUGGACAGCUGUGCCAGAUGAAGAUUCCAAGAUGGCUGGAGUUGAUUUUUCUGGAGAGUGAAGGCUCCUGGGCUCAUAACUGAUCAAACAGAACAAUCUCAGGACACCUGUGUAGGUUUGCUCUGGACACUUAACUUUGGGAGCUACGGAGGGCAGUGGGGAACAGUGCUGCAUGUUUCCAAGGACUGUGGCUGGUUGUUGCCAUGGGAUCUCCAACUGCAUGCAAGAACAAUGUGGAGAGACUUUGACAGCUUAGGUUCCUCAAGUUUCCUGGCAGUAUCUGAUAUGGAAGGACAGCAUGUUUUGGAGCUGUGUUUUAAAGGUUACCAGUAAAAGCUGUCUUCACGUAUGAUUACGGAGUUACUGAGUCGGGAGAGAACCUUCACAGAAACAGGUGGGCAGAAAGACAAGUUAUUUUAGGUGGAAACCGAAUUCCAUGCACAGAUGUUUGAUUUUGGUGGUUCUGUAUAUAUAUGAUGUUGAUCAAUAAAAGACUCUGGAAUUAUGUUGGUCUUGUUCAAA